AUUGAACGCUGGCGGCAGGCCUAACACAUGCAAGUCGAGCGGAGGAAGGGAGCUUGCUCCUGGAUUCAGCGGCGGACGGGUGAGUAAUGCCUAGGAAUCUGCCUGGUAGUGGGGGAUAACGUCCGGAAACGGGCGCUAAUACCGCAUACGUCCUGAGGGAGAAAGUGGGGGAUCUUCGGACCUCACGCUAUCAGAUGAGCCUAGGUCGGAUUAGCUAGUUGGUGGGGUAAAGGCCUACCAAGGCGACGAUCCGUAACUGGUCUGAGAGGAUGAGCAGUCACACUGGAACUGAGACACGGUCCAGACUCCUACGGGAGGCAGCAGUGGGGAAUAUUGGACAAUGGGCGAAAGCCUGAUCCAGCCAUGCCGCGUGUGUGAAGAAGGUCUUCGGAUUGUAAAGCACUUUAAGUUGGGAGGAAGGGCAGUAAGUUAAUACCUUGCUGUCUUGACGUUACCAACAGAAUAAGCACCGGCUAACUUCGUG
rnacentral:rRNA from 1 species